rnacentral:rRNA from 1 species
UAUUAUUAUGUAUGUAAAUUUGAUUUUUGAAUAUUAUUAGUUAUGUUCUUGAAAUUUAAAGAAAUUGACGGUAUUUUAGUCUUUUCAGAGGAAUCUGUUCUAUAAUUGAUAAUACACGAGUUAAAUGUACUUUAUUUAGUAAAGCUUGUAUAUCGUUGUCGUAAAUUUAUCUUAAAAAAGUUUAUUUUUGAAUAAAAAAAUUAGAUUAAAUGUCAAAUCAAGGUGCAGUUUAUGAUAAAGAAGAAAUGGAUUACAAUUUAAUGGUAAACGAAUUAAUUUGUUUAAAUAAUUUUUGAAGGUGGAUUUGAUUGUAAAUUUGUUGAUUUAUAUAUUGAUUUAAGCUCUAAAAUAUGUACAUAUCGCCCGUCAUUCCUGUUAUAAAAUGGG